UGUUAUAAUCAAGCACAAUCAUAAAGUUUCUAAAUAAAUAUACUAGAGGGAAAUGUGGCGCUAGUGUCUACGGGGCUCUCCUGAGCGUCGCUUCAACCUACAUGAUAAUGAUGGGAAGUACAGGCUUCGGAUUGACUUCUGUCUUGAGACUGGUGGCGUUUGCUUGCGCCGCAGUAAACAAAGCUGUAAUAAAAUAUUUUUCCGUAAAAUUUAAUUUUAUUCCUGUUGCGUUUUAUAUAAUGCACAAUACAUUGUAUAAAGUUUGUAUGACUUUGAGAUCGAAGCACGGUUUACCACCACGGUAUGCAUUGUUCUGCAAUUCUGUUCCUGAUUUAGCGGCAGUGAGUAAUUAUUUAUUUAUUUUACAACAGAAACAACUACCGUGCAUAUGCUUAU
rnacentral:lncRNA from 1 species